AUACAAGGUUACCUCAGAGCAGAUGGCCAAGUUAUACAACGGCAGCGAGUUAGGGCUAGUUUAAGAAGAGUUGAUCCUGAUGGAACUAGCGAAAGAUGGUCAGCUGCAGUGCAUAGAAGAGUUUAUAGUGUAGCUACACCAAAUACCCUCUGGCAUAUGGAUGGUCAUAUGAAACUCAAUAGAUGGGGAUUUGUGACCCAUGGAUGUAUUGAUGGAUACAGCAGGUAUAUUACCUUUCUCCACUGUGGUACAAAUAACACAGCAUCAUCGGUUCUUGUUUGUUAAAGCUUGUACUACACUUGGUGUUCCAUCAAGAGUACGGUCUGACCAUGGCACAGAGAACACAAAGGUAGCUCUAUUUAUGAACCUAAUAAGAGGAAGAAGUAGCCAUAUUACUGGUCGUUCAGUCCAUAAUCAAAGGAUUGAAAGAGUUUGGCGAGAUAUGCAUAAGGAGGUGACUUCGGUUUUUAGAAAAGAGUUUUAUGACAUGGAAGAUUCCUUAGAUGUACAGCUGGAUCCAAGUAACAACAUACAGAUAUGGGCACUACAAUAUGUUUAUAUCCCUAUCUUAAAGGACGAACUUGACAAGUUCCAGAGAGGAUGGAAUGCCCAUCCUUUUAGUCUUUAAGGACAGCUCAUCAGAAAACACCACGAUAGCUUUGGGUUAGCGGUAUGUUGAACAAUAUGGGGUCCUUACAUACAGCACCAUCUGAAGUAUUUGAGAGAAGUUUCAGUUUAGAAGAGAGACUAGAAAAUGGAUUAGCUCAAUUUGGUAUUUCUCUAGGCGAUUUAGAAGUUGAGAUUUUAGGGAACUCUAACCAACAACAGGUGCAACUAACAGCAGAGCAAAAGACAAAUUUAGAUUCUGAGCUUGAGAGAUGUGUUCUGCGUAAAGAGAAGUUUGUAAAGUGUUUAAGUUUAUUGACAUCAUUUGGAUAUUCACCCUACACAUGAAUACUAGCAAUAAUCAGGAUUUUUGUAGUUGAUAUUUUGAUGUUGAUGUUGCAAUUGUUGGUAUUUAAGUGUAGAUGUUAGAACUGUCUGCCAAUAUUAAAAUAUAUGUCUGUUUCUGCAUCUCCACAUGAAAAAUUAAGUCUCUAGUCAUGCAUCUAAUAUAAUUAGUGUACAAGUUAUGAUAGUAAAAUUGUUUUUCUUUUUUU